CAGACGGCUGAUGGGCAGAUAAAGGACACCUCAUUCUCUUGCUGCCAGCUCCCCAGAGUCACCAAGCAUCCAGGAGCUCUGGCUGGACAAACUGACUUUUGUGGCAGGUUUUUAAGUGUGCAAUUUUCCGGUUUUGAGCAUUACUUCUGCUUGGCACCUCAUCUUCACGCCCACUCUCCUGCAAGGCUGCUCGCUCCCCGAGAACGCCUCCUCCUUGUCUCUGGAUGGUGCUUCAGAAGCCGGACGCUGUCAGUCUGAACCAUGGCUGGCUCCUGCAAAACAUCAGUAACACUGUAGAUAGCAUCACCCUCCAUUC
rnacentral:lncRNA from 1 species